rnacentral:rRNA from 1 species
CCUACGGGAGGCAGCAGUGAGGAAUAUUGGUCAAUGGGCGCGAGCCUGAACCAGCCAAGUAGCGUGAAGGAUGACUGCCCUACGGGUUGUAAACUUCUGUUAUAAAGGAAUAAAGUGAGGCACGUGUGCCUUUUUGUAUGUACUUUAUGAAUAAGGAUCGGAUAACUCCGUGCCAGCAGCCGCGGUAAUACGGAGGAUCCGAGCGUUAUCCGGAUUUAUUGGGUUUAAAGGGAGCGUAGAUGGGUUGUUAAGUCAGUUGUGAAAGUUUGCGGCUCAACCGUAAAAUUGCAAUUGAUACUGGCAGUCUUGAGUACAGUUGAGGUAGGCGUACUUCGUGGUGUAGCUG